rnacentral:rRNA from 1 species
GACGAACGCUGGCGGCGUGCUUAACACAUGCAAGUCGAACGGUAAGGCCCCAGCUUGCUGGGGUACACGAGUGGCGAACGGGUGAGUAACACGUGGGUGACCUGCCCUGCACUUCGGGAUAAGCCUGGGAAACUGGGUCUAAUACCGGAUAGGACCGCACCGUGAGGGUUUGGUGGAAAGUGUUUUCGGUGUGGGAUGGGAUCGCGGCCUAUCAGCUUGUUGGUGGGGUAAUGGACUACCAAGGCGGCGAGGGGUAGCCGGCCUGAGAGGGGGGACGGCCACAUUGGGACUGAGAUACGGCCCAGACUCCUACGGGAGGCAGCGGUGGGGAAUAGUGCACAAUGGGCGGAAGGCUGAUGCAGCGACGCCGCGUGGGGGAUGACGGCCUUCGGGUUGUAAACUACUUUCCCCAUAGACGAAGGGUUACUGACGGUAGCUGGAGAAGAAGCACCGGCUAACUACGUG